CACCAAUCCUCUCUCUCCCUUCUAACACCAUCGAACCACCUUAUCCAUUUGACUGCUUAUCCAUCUCUCCUCAUGUUUCAUUGGCGUCCAGCUGCGGCCGUGGAUCACACAGAUCGGCGGGGACGCGGCCUGACAUGGAUGGGCGGCGGCGGCCAAGAGCAGCUCGGUCGAGACGUCCAUCUUCCAACGGCCAAUGGCGCUGAAGUGACUGACCAGGUUUUUUUUCGGCACGGCGGCCAUGGAUGAAAUAAGAUCGAAGGUGCACUCACUUCAGCGGAGCCUUGUUCUUUUUCUGUUGAUGUUGAAUCCUGCUCCAAGUUCUUCAACUGCAAGUAGAUGCUUUUGAAGCCCACCAAUCACACGCCAGGUUACGCCGGGAACCACCACAGAUCUGGGUCAAUCGAACAUGAGGAUGCCUUCUUCUAUGCCCAUAUGCCACAUUCAAAUAGUCCAAAUCCAGAUUUGGGAUUUUCUUCUGUUCACGAUGGUGUAUGUCUCUGGAUGCAUUACACUGCCGACGCCGACCCUGGCCAUGCAUGGUGGAGUUUCAUGCAUGCGCGACGAGUGAUCCAAUUCGCCCGAUCUCACCUGCAGCUGCAGUGUCGCAGCCCCCCCUGGGGUUUGCUCUCUCGAAGUCUAGCACACGCCGCGGAAAUAUGAUGUCAGAUUGAAGAACGCAUGAAUCACCGUGAAUCUCCUAGCUACCGAUGGUGCCUGUUUGAUCCAUCGUUUGUGCGUGACAUUAAUUUGCUAGUACGUACACACGAGAAACAGUUGGCAGCUUCUUUUGCACCCAUAUAAUCAAGUCAUGUUUCUUAUCGACGAUGAUGUACUCCCUCCGUCCGGAAUUACUUGUCAUCAAAAUGGAUGAAAAUGGAUGUAUCUAGAACUAAAGUACAUCUAGAUACAUCCAUUUCAAUGACAAGUAUUUCCGGACGGAGGGAGUAUAUGUUCUCUGCAAAAAAAAUGAUGAUGUAUAUGUACUCCUGAUGCAUAUGAAUUGAUUUUUUAUGAACUUACUUUU
rnacentral:rRNA from 1 species